rnacentral:rRNA from 1 species
CGUGCUACAAUGGGUAGUACAGAGGGUUGCCAAGCCGUAAGGUGGAGCUAAUCCCUUAAAGCUACUCUCAGUUCGGAUUGUAGGCUGAAACUCGCCUACAUGAAGCUGGAGUUACUAGUAAUCGCAGAUCAGAAUGCUGCGGUGAAUGCGUUCCCGGGUCUUGUACACACCGCCCGUCACACCACGGGAGUUGGAGACGCCCGAAGCCGAUUAUCUAACCUUUUGGAAGAAGUCGUCGAAGGUGGAAUCAAUAACUGGGGUGAAGUCGUAACAAGGUAGCCGUAUCGGAAGGUGCGGCUGGAUCACCUCCUUUCUAAGGAGA